CCUACGGGGGGCAGCAGUGGGGAAUAUUGCGCAAUGGGCGAAAGCCUGACGCAGCGACGCCGCGUGAGGGAUGAAGGUCUUCGGAUCGUAAACCUCUGUCAGCAGGGAAGAAAGGUCACUGUGCUAAUCAGCAGUGAAUUGACGGUACCUGCAAAGGAAGCACCGGCUAACUCCGGGCCAGCAGCCGCGGUAAUACGGAGGGUGCGAGCGUUAAUCGGCAUUACUGGGCGGAAAGGGCUCGUAGGCGGUAUGUCAAGUCAAGGGUGAAAUCCCCGCGCUCAACGUGGGAACUGCCUUUGAAACUGGCAGACUGGAGUGUGUGAGAGGAGAGUGGAAUUCCAGGGGUAGGAGUGAAAUCCGUAGAUAUCUGGAGGAACAUCAGUGGCGAAGGCGACUAUCUGGCACAUAACUGACGCUGAGGAGCGAAAGCGUGGGUAGCAAACAGGAUUAGAUACCCUUGUAGUC
rnacentral:rRNA from 1 species